rnacentral:rRNA from 1 species
UCCUACGGGGGGCAGCAGUGGGGAAUAUUGGACAAUGGGGGGAACCCUGAUCCAGCCAUGCCGCGUGUGUGAAGAAGGCCUUAUGGUUGUAAAGCACUUUAAGCGAGGAGGAGGCUACUGAGACUAAUACUCUUGGAUAGUGGACGUUACUCGCAGAAUAAGCACCGGCUAACUCUGUGCCAGCAGCCGCGGUAAUACAGAGGGUGCGAGCGUUAAUCGGAUUUACUGGGCGUAAAGCGUGCGUAGGCGGCUUUUUAAGUCGGAUGUGAAAUCCCCGAGCUUAACUUGGGAAUUGCAUUCGAUACUGGGAAGCUAGAGUAUGGGAGAGGAUGGUAGAAUUCCAGGUGUAGCGGUGAAAUGCGUAGAGAUCUGGAGGAAUACCGGUGGCGAAGGCGGCCCCCUGGACAAAGACUGACGCUCAGGUGCGAAAGCGUGGGGAGCAAACAGGAUUAGAUACCCCUGUAGUCC